GCAAAUUUCAAUGAAUACCAAACAGCAACAGAUUUAAUUCUUUGUACAUUCAUUUGCUGUUUUAAAGCAGUCUUUUCCUCCAUUCGAAUCAAGGUUAAAGUAACCACAUGGAACUUCUUAAAGCUUUUGAAGGAUAGAAGGAUGCAAACCGUAAUCAAAAGAGUCCUUUCACCUUGCAAAUGACAGAGGAUAUGAGAAUGCAAUUGGUAGAUCUAUUUAGCAUUGGCUUUGUUAACAAAUUGAUGAGUGUUAAUGUAAG